GAAUGGACUCCAUUAAAUCAGUUAUCGUUUAUAUUGAUAGUACCCUUACUACAUGGAUAACCCGUGGUAAUUCUAGAAGCUAAUACAUGCUAAAACCCUCGACUUCGGAAGGGGUGUAUUUAUUAGAUAAAAAACCAAUGCCCUUUCGGGGCUCCUUGGUGAAUCAUAAUAACUUAACGAAUCGCAUGGCCCUUGCGCCGGCGAUGGUUCAUUCAAAUUUCUGCCCUAUCAACUUUCGAUGGUAGGAUAGUGGCCUACCAUGGUAUCAACGGGUAACGGGGAAUUAGGGUUCUACUCCGGAGAGGGAGCCUGAGAAACGGCUACCACAUCCAAGGAAGGCAGCAGGCGCGCAAAUUACCCAAUCCCGAUACGGGGAGGUAGUGACAAUAAAUACUGAUACAGGGCUCUUUUGGGUCUUGUAAUUGGAAUGAGUACAAUUUAAAUACCUUAACGAGGAACAAUUGGAGGGCAAGUCUGGUGCCAGCAGCCGCGGUAAUUCCAGCUCCAAUAGCGUAUAUUAAAGUUGUUGCAGUUAAAAAGCUCGUAGUUGAACCUUGGGCCUGGCUGGCCGGUCCGCCUCACCGCAUGUACUGGUUCGGCCGGGUCUUUCCUUCUGGGGAUCCUCAUGCCCUUCACUGGGUGUGUUGGGGAACCAGGACUUUUACUUUGAAAAAAUUAGAGUGUUCAAAGCAGGCCUUUGCUCGAAUACAUUAGCAUGGAAUAAUAGAAUAGGACGUGCGGUCCUAUUUUGUUGGUUUCUAGGACCGCCGUAAUGAUUAAUAGGGAUAGUCGGGGGCAUCAGUAUUCAAUUGUCAGAGGUGAAAUUCUUGGAUUUAUUGAAGACUAACUACUGCGAAAGCAUUUGCCAAGGAUGUUUUCAUUAAUCAGUGAACGAAAGUUAGGGGAUCGAAGACGAUCAGAUACCGUCGUAGUCUUAUCCAUAAACUAUGCCGACUAGGGAUCGGGCGGUGUUAUUAUUUGACCCGUUCGGCACCUUACGAGAAAUCACAGUCUCGCUUGCAGAGGAGAGCACCGACCCGCA
rnacentral:rRNA from 1 species